AAUCAAGCAAGAAACUAUCCGUGACCCUGGGAGGAAAACUGCCAAGGAAACCGAGGGAUGGGUGCUUUGGGUGGGGAGUGAGUACAGCCAUGCUCACACCAGCAGCAGCAGCAGAUUCUGCAUUAUAUUGGCUGAUUUGCUUUCCAGCAAACGGGGCUUUUGCUGCUUUCCUGCUUGUGGAUUUCCCUAGAAGGGAAGUGAAUUCAUCGAAGGAAGAAGCCAGAGUGCUCCAGUCCUGCUGCUAGACCUGUCUGCAAGCUGUGGCAUCUCGGGUACAGGAGUGUGAAGAACGACUGGAGCGUUAAAUAAGGACGUGGAUAAGUGUGGCAAUUCCCUGCUGACUGCCAGAACAGCCUGCAGAGCAGAGACUGAGGCCAGCCUCUCUUCCCCUCCAAGU
rnacentral:lncRNA from 1 species